rnacentral:lncRNA from 1 species
AUGUCGUGUGAGCUUUCCUUCUCGUGUGUCCUAGGUGCUCUGAUACGUAACGGGAUGGGAACUUUGUUAUUGCUUUUCUAUUCCUUACGUAUUGUUUUUGAAGAUUUAUGACUAUGUUUUUAGAUUGGAUUUUUAUGCGACAUUUAUGAAGAGGCCUUCGUGCCAAAGACUGUUUUAGUUAUUGAAAUAAAUUCCGCUGCGAAGUAUUAAAGAUCUUGUAUUUGAAUUUUAAAGGAUAAAUAGUUAUUUAUUCAGUUUAUGAUUUUAAGAAAAGAAUGUGAC